CUAUGUCCCUGCGGGUGGGUGCGAGGGCGAAGAGGAACCCGUGGGCCUCGGGGGAUCCCGGGGGACCGGACCGGUGUUCCCCAGUUGGUGGGAGCAGAAGGUUGGGCGCAUCGCGGGCGGGCGGGGCCUGACGUGCAACUAUGUUUCCAGUGUCCUCUGGGUGUUUUCAAGAGCAACAAGAAAUGAAUAAAUCUCUGGGGUUGGUGUCCUUUGAAGAGGUGACCAUGCACUUCACCUGGGAGGAGUAGCAGGACCUGGAUGAUGAUCAGAGGACCCUGUACAGGGACGUGAUGCUGGAGACCUACAAAAGCCUGGUAUCAUUACAGGAGUUGGUGUCCUUUGAGGAGGUAGCUGUGCACUUCAUCUGGGAGGAGUGGCAGGACCUGGAUGACACUCAGAGGACACUGUACAGGGAUGUGAUGCUGGAGACCUACAGCAGCUUGGUAUCAUUGGGACAUCACAUUACCAAACCUGAGAUGAUCUUCAAGCUAGAGCAAGGAGCAGAGCCAUGGAUAGUAGAAGCCCCAGACCUGAGACUUUCAGGCUAAGCCUCCCUCCUUUAGGUAGAGGCUCUUUUAUACCAUUUGGGAACUGGUUUGGAUAAGCUACCUUAAUGAAAGACCACACAUCCCUCCAGAGAUAAUAAAAGACUUUUUGUCUUUUCUGAUUUAAGAAAAUUUUAUCUCAUAAGCUACCUAUAGUUUACAAAAAUUCAGUAAAGUAUACUUUUUUGAACAAAGAUGGAAGCAUUCAUUUUGUCUCCCUACUUGAUUCCUCCAAAAUUUGGAAAGUAUUUGUGAGUAUUCUUUUAUUUUUACUUGAUAAAUAUCCAUUUCUCUUCAUAAACAGAAUACCAUUGAAAACAUUGGUUAUAUUAUUAAGGCUUUAACUGAAAUCUCAUAUUUAAGAAUGUGCAUAAAAUGCCUGGCUUCCAGUGCUUCCAGCCUGACAGUGAAUGAGUAAAAAUUGUCACUUCCUGGCAGGCCCAAGAACUUUAAGAUUGUAAGUAAAAUCUAAAACCUCCCUUGCUUUGGCCUUAAGAGGUUUUUUAAACCUGAACUUUCUGUAGAUUAAUGUAGAGAAAAAGUUCUGUUUCUAAAGAAAAACUAUAAUGCAUCUGUUAGUAGAUUGUAAACCUGUGCAUUCUUUUCAAGUUCUUGUUAUCUACGUGUAGAUUAUACUAGAUCCUGAAUUCUCCUAAUGUAUUUCUCCUAAUAUGGCAACAACUCUCCAACUAAAAGCAAAAGCUGCUCUGUUACUAAAGCCCUAUGAGCUGAAACUAGAUAAAUUUUAAAGAAUAAACAUGUGCCUGGUGUAUGGAUCUCAGAAAGAGUUCACCAAACCAACUGAUGUCAUGACCAAAGACAUUCAAACUACAAAGCAGGAGAAGUUAAUGUUUUGUUUUCAUGCCGAUUUUCCCAGGUCAUUAGAACAGAUUUUCCCAGGUCAUUAGAACAAGACUCCAUGUGAUGAGAUUUUUGACCCUCCUCCUCCUUAAUGCUACAUUUUUCACUUUGCAGAAUAAUGAUGUGAAUGAAAAUUCACAAUCAAUAGCUUCUGCUCAUAAGUAUCCUUUGGUUAAAUGAGAAAAUGACUGUGUUAUUGUCAAUACUAUAUGCUGUACCUGGAUAAAUUUCUCCAGGAAAUUAGAAAUUUAUAGGCCACGUGGUUACACCAUUUCACCUGAUUCCCUAUGAUUAUUUGAUUUAUUCAAUUAGUUGUCUGUAAGCUUAGGUUAAUGGCUCAAAGCCAUUAUGCAAACUAGAAUUGUUCUAUUACUAUUUACUUCAUAAUUUCCCUUUUUAAACUGUGUAUCCAUUACUUAAGUUUUUUUUUCAAAAGUACAACUCCUAAUAGAAUAAUGCCGGUACAGCACUUUGAGAUGAUAGCAAAAGACUACAGAACAGACAAAAUUGAACUUAAUAAUGAACUCCAGGUAGACUUAGCCUGAAAACUACUCCCUUCAAAUCUCCCUUGUUGCUCCAAAUGUGCCUAAAAGGAUUUUGACACUGACUCUUAGGUGCCAAUUACCCCCUGCCUCAAUGUGGGAUGAGACCAAAAACCAAAAUAGGUCUAUCCUAGCACCAAGGGCCAUCAAAACCAAACUAAAAGAUGAUUGAUCAGUGAUGCUUUUGGAAAAAGAUCUGGAGCACAGAUGGGAAAUGUGAAAGUUGUCUGCAUCAAAAUGGAGUCACUAGUAAUAAGAAAACUCUGACAACUCGAGCUGGGGAAGGACAUGAAGAGAGCAUUCUCAUGUGUGCAUGUCUGAUGAUGAAAAUGAUUCUACAAAAAUUACAACCUUGCACAAAGUCCAUGACAACGUUAUAC
rnacentral:sRNA from 1 species